GGGCCUGUAACUCAGUUGGUCAGAGUGUGCGCUUGAUAAGCGCAAAGUCAGCAGUUCAAGCCUGCUCAGGCUCA
rnacentral:tRNA from 1 species